UUACCGUAUGGCACAAUACUUGCAUGUAGACGUGACGUUUGUGAUCUACAUACAUCUAUUGAGCCAUCCGGUAU
rfam:Caenorhabditis remanei strain PB4641 contig76.1, whole genome shotgun sequence.